CAGCAGCGCUCAAGCCGCCCGAGCCGGAGCGGAGCCCCUGUUCUCAGCUGCAGCCAGGAUCUGCCCCCGGCCCCGCUGGGAUCCAGGCCAGAGAAUAACAUCCAUGUUUCGCUGCAGAUCAUCUCGUCCUCCCAGGGGCAAGGAAAUGGCUGCAAUGGAGCUGGCUCAGGGGCCGGUGACCUUCGAGGAGGUGGCUGUGUAUUUCUCCAG